UACGAAGGGGGCUAGCGUUGCUCGGAAUCACUGGGCGUAAAGCGCACGUAGGCGGAUCUUUAAGUCAGGGGUGAAAUCCCAAGGCUCAACCUUGGAACUGCCUUUGAUACUGGGGAUCUCGAGUCCGGAAGAGGUGAGUGGAACUGCGAGUGUAGAGGUGAAAUUCGUAGAUAUUCGCAAGAACACCAGUGGCGAAGGCGGCUCACUGGUCCGGUACUGGACGCUGAGGUGCGAAAGCGUGGGGAGCAAACAGGG
rnacentral:rRNA from 1 species